AAUACUCCAUCUGACAGAAGUUGUGAGAUAUGGGGCUGAAGUCGGCAGCCCCAGCCGACUUCAGCCCCGUCCCCAUUCUAGGAAGGUCGGAACAGAGGAUCGCGAUUGCGAUCCUCUCCGGUUCUUCCGGGGACAAACCAGGCAAGGGCGCCGCAGGAAUCCCGCGGCGCCCUCCCUCCGACCGAUCCGCGGCCAAUCCCAGCCGCGGAAUCCUCUCGGCCGCCGCGAUUCACGCGGCGGAGAGUCGCCGCGAGGGGUGAUAAAAAACCCCCAAGCCCUCCUCUCCUCCGCAUCCUCCUCCUCCUCCUCCUCUUCCCCCCUUCGCUCCUCCUCCUCUCCUUGGUGACCGGCGUCCUCUUCCCGACCGAGCGCCGCCCGGACUCCCUUGCGGCCACCACCUGUUCCGAGAUUCAUCCUCUAGAUUUCGAGCGCCGCCACCGCCGCUUGACCACCGAAUCGAGCACCAGCGGCCGAGAUCUUCCUCCCACUACCUCUGCCACCGCCGGUGAACUUGAUCUGCCUAUCUGAAGUAGGAAUUAAGCGAGAAGAGAUCCAGAGGCUUGAUCGCACGGGAAUGGGGAGUGCGUUAGAUGUUCCGAUGAUUCCAUCAGUUAUUGGUCCUUUAGUUAGAUUGAUUAGAGUAUUUGACUUACGUCAGCAUAUGUUAUUUGAAAUUUUGUAAGACUGCUUUUGAAUAAAUUUAA